rnacentral:rRNA from 1 species
AGAAUCAACGCUGGCGGCGUGCCUAACACAUGCAAGUCGCACGAGAAAGGGGAGCAAUCCCUGAGUAAAGUGGCGCACGGGUGAGUAACACGUGAAUAAUCUACCUCCGAGUGGGGAAUAACUGAGAGAAAUCUUAGCUAAUACCGCAUAACACUUACGAGUCAAAGCAGCAAUGCGCUUGGAGUAGGAGUUCGCGGCCGAUUAGUUAGUUGGCGGGUAAUGGCCCACCAAGACGAUGAUCGGUA